UACGUAGGGUGCAGGCGUUAUUCGGAAUUACUGGGCGUAAAGCGUGCGCAGGCGGUCUUUUAAGUCAGAUGUGAAAUCCCCGGGCUUAACCUGGGAACUGCGUUUGAAACUGAAAGGCUAGAGUGUGGCAGAGGGGGGUGGAAUUCCACGUGUAGCAGUGAAAUGCGUAGAGAUGUGGAGGAACACCGAUGGCGAAGGCAGCCCCCUGGGCUAACACUGACGCUCAUGCACGAAAGCGUGGGGAGCAAGCAGG
rnacentral:rRNA from 1 species